rnacentral:rRNA from 1 species
GACGAACGCUGGCGGCGUGCCUAAUACAUGCAAGUAGGACGCUGAAGGAGGAGCUUGCUUCUCUGGAUGAGUUGCGAACGGGUGAGUAACGCGUAGGUAACCUGCCUGGUAGCGGGGGAUAACUAUUGGAAACGAUAGCUAAUACCGCAUAAGAGUAGAUGUUGCAUGACAUUUACUUAAAAGGUGCAAUUGCAUCACUACCAGAUGGACCUGCGUUGUAUUAGCUAGUUGGUGAGGUAACGGCUCACCAAGGCAACGAUACAUAGCCGACCUGAGAGGGUGAUCGGCCACACUGGGACUGAGACACGGCCCAGACUCCUACGGGAGGCAGCAGUAGGGAAUCUUCGGCAAUGGACGGAAGUCUGACCGAGCAACGCCGCGUGAGUGAAGAAGGGUUUCGGAUCGUAAAGCUCUGUUGUAAGAGAAGAACGAGUGUGAGAGUGGAAAGUUCACACUGUGACGGUAUCUUACCAGAAAGGGACGGCUAACUACGUG